rnacentral:SRP_RNA from 17 species
GGACUUUGCAACGCUCGGAAGGGAGCAGCUGCUGGCGACGCUUUCACGCUCGGAGAGAGGCAGCGA